GUCCCAGUGGCCUAAUGGAGAGAGCACUGCCCUACUAAGCCAAGGAUUGUGGGUUCAAGUCCCUUCUGGGCUG